CCACCCCCCCAAUGGCCACCGUACGUCCUCUUCCAACCCCGCCGCUGCCGCGGCCCGGACUGUGCCCAGAUGAGCAACCUCCGCUCGGCCCGCCGCCUGGGGAUGAGCCGCAACCAGCACCGCGUGCAGGUGUGUGUCGUCGUCAGUCCCUGCAUUUGUACGCUCCAGUCAACUUUCUCCGCCGCCCUCGGAGGUCAGGUCUAUCCCACUCCCACCGUGCCGCUAGGGUUCUCCGUGCCUGCUUAAAGUUUCGAUUUUAUAUUUUUUCUUGCCCCUUUGCUACGAUGAGCAGUGAAACGCAGCAAUUGUUUGUGAGAAUGUUUAGUCAUGGGGGGAAUAUGCGCUACAGUGCUAGGAUCAUCAUUUCAAAUAAGCCAUGAGAUUGUCCUAGUGACUAGCAUCCCUAUACUAUGACUGACACUUGCUCAACCAUGUAUAGCUGGUACUGAAAAUGUUUAGUCAUGUUGUAAGAUCAAUUUUUCUCCAAUGAAUCUUCAAAUAUCAAACUGCCAAAAAAGAAAACUUCAUAGUAUACUAGUGCUCAAACUUCUCAACUUUGUGAGAAUGUGUCUUUUGUUUUACUGUCAUUCUGGAAAGUCGAAAGUAUAUGGUUCCUAAGAUUUUCUCUCUUACUGCGUGAAAUAUUCAACUGUAUCACAUUUAUUUCUGUAAAUAAACACAUCAUGCUGCAAUCCCAGUUCACAAAAAAAAAACAAGUCAAACUUCUAAACUUAAGCUGUUGGCGUUUCGUUUCCCAUGUCAAAUUUCUACAAUUGAGCUCAAAAUUUCAUUGUCCUUCAGUGUCAUGUGCAUGGCUGGUUCAGAUCCGAUGAUUCAGGGUAAGACACUUACCCUCAUCUUACUGUUGUUUCUGCUGUUGUAGCCAUGUUAAAGUUUUGAGGCCAGUUGAUGAACUGUAACUGUUGCUGUAGGCGUCACUGCCUCAAGUGGAUUCUUCUUACAAUUAUGGACAGAAUCAUAUAGUAAUAACCCAACUAAGUAAUAGAUGAGAUACCCCACACAAGUAACUGAUUUUUAUUCAAGCAAAAUAAUUGAUUUCAGGAAACUGAUAUUCUUGUUGGAAUGGCGAUGCCUUCCUAACAGCUACUCCGGCCCAGUGCUACAGAUAGUACAGCAAGUGCUCUUUACAGUACAUGUGAACAUCAUUGCAGCAAUAUCGGUGGCAAUAACUUCCAGAGCCAUACUAUGGAAGUGAACUGAUAAAGGUAGAGGGAUCAGGAGGAGUGGGGACUGCAGCUGCUUCGUCAAGCAUUUGUGUCACUUUGAGCAUUGUAGGUCUCAUAGUUGGGUCCUCCUGAAGGCAUCACAAUGCCACUGCCACAAACCUUUCCACCUUCGUCAAAUUGAGAAUUGCUUCAUCAUCACCCUCCACCAGAAAAUCAACCCUGCCGCAACUAUAACAGUCAUUUGCCCAGUCAGUCAGUAUUUUCUGAUCUUCCGCAGCCUCCAACUCAACAUUCCUCCGACAACAGAUGAGCUCCAACAGGAUGACCCCAAAGCUAUACACAUCCACCUUGGCUGUGAUACCGAUGUUUUUGAACCACUUAGGGGCUACUUAGCCUCAGGUACCCCGGAUACCUGUAUUUGUUUGUGUCUGGUUUGUUCGGAGAAGUUUAGCUAAGCCGAAGUCUGAGAUCUUUGCUGUGAAGUUGCCAUCGAGAAGGAUGUUCUGGGGCUUUAUGUCACAAUGGAUAAUCUGUGUGCUGCAUUCCUCAUGUAAGUAUAGCAGCCCCUUUGCCACUCCAAGAGCAAGCUGAGCUCGAAGGUUCCACUCAA